rnacentral:lncRNA from 1 species
CUCUGGACAUCUUGCCCUUUAUUUACUGAAAAGAAGACAACAUCUUUUCUCAGGGCUGAAACCCCUAUUGCAGUUCCAACACGUGUCUAUUUAUCAGGAGAAAAGCUGAAUAUUUCCACUAUCACAAGAUUAUUGCCAGUGCUCGGAUUUUUCCCUAACCUCCAGCUAAAAUCCUCUGAGCUAACGCUCUGAAAAUGGAACGGCAUACCAAAUCUGCGCUCUGGCUCUCAGAGGUGGAGGCCCACCCUUUCUCCCAAUAAACAAUUUUGCAUACGUUUAAACCUCCCUCCUCUGGUUUCCCAACUCCUCCUGCCUGACCCCCCCAGCAAAGAAAUUACGGAAAUCUGUCAUUUCUCUCUUUUCCCUCGCACCUCCAUCUAUCAGUGUUUCGAAGGCAGUCUCCUCAAAUGCAGAGCAGAGCAGGAGAUGGGCAGCGGUAAUGGGAAUGUGCUCCUGACUGUGCAAACCCACACAGAGAGUGAGGACAGGAGAGACUGCAUUUGCAUACAUAUUAAACGAGAGCAGUAAAAAAUGCAGACGUGCAAACCAUUUGGACAUGGCUCGCCUCGGCAAUGUGCCCUGCAAGGGAAUCAAUCUUCUGCAUUCUUAAAGGGAAAAACCUGUUACGGAGCGAAAAGCAAAGCCAGAAAGACGUCCGCUUACAAACACGGUCAAGGUUUGAAGACGAUCUGACCUUCUGCCUUUGCCAACCACGACCUGCUGUGCAAAGGUACACAUAGGAGGGUGAGACCUGGCAUGAACCAACUGCUGUCACUGGUGAGAGAUCUCCCAGGACCCCAUCCUGAGUGGGAACUGGAGCAAGAGUUCCAAGCUCCACGUGCCCACCUGUGAGGGCAACGCAGAGACCUUCCUGAGAUGGCCCAAGCCAGGCUGCAGGGAAGAACUAAGUGACAUCUGGAUAUGCUGAAGAAGCCCAAACCCUGUGUCCCAGUGCCUUCACCUACUGAAAAGUGCACCGAGUCAUGGGAAGCAAAGCAGUACCUCAUCAUCCUCUGCUUCUCUACCAACCUCCAGAACCAACAAAUAAGCCCUGGAUGGAAAAGCAGACAAAACGCGCUUCCCAGCAGCCCGUCCAGUGUGGAUUCUCUGGUGUCUCGUAAAGGAAAGGGCAGCGGAGAGAAUCGCAAAGAGGGAACCCGGGGGUUUCCCCCCAGAAGUGGGAUCUGUGCCUCGCCAGAGACACGAAGGCAGAGCAAAGCAGAGUUCAAGAAAACAUCAGAAAGACGUUAUUGAAUAGCUGUCAUUUGGCAAGUAUAAAUGUAUCAGCGAUUGUGUUGAUAGGAGGCUCUUAUCAAUGCAGAUUAAUUUGAUAAUUGCCCGUGCAGAGAAAGAAAACAAACCAACUAAGUCCAUUGCCACUGACAUCCGAAACGCCUCCCUUGGUUAAAUGAAUUUCCUUUUUUAACUUAUCUUGAAGUAAUACGAAAGUUAUGGUGUAGCCACAAUCAAAAACCACCCCCCCCCAUGUUAUUCCCUUUUUGACCUAUCUUAUUUUUGGCAUCAGCCCGACAGCCCGGAGCAAUGGAGGGCCAAGGGCUUUAUUUGUCCCUUGGGGGAGGAUGAAAAGGCUGUAGAAAAAAUGGCAGUUUUGCUGAGGAUCCCAUCCUUCAGCCUCCCCACGGUGCAGCUCACACGUCCCACACUGGCGGCUGCAGGGAGCGCGUGCUGGGGCAGCACUCAGCGAUGUCAAACGCACCCUGCAAAUGGCCCCAGAUGACAUUUUUAGAGAGGCUCUGUUAUCGGAGCCUACGGAAUUAGCACCGUGCAACAUCCUCGGGCUGCAAGACGGCUCCUGCCAACGUCAAUGGCGGUGUGGUAUGGAGAUCAAAGGUAAAGCGCAGCCAAGGAACUGGUUUGGCUGGUGGGAAAGCAUGGGGGGAGCAGCCCCACCGAACCUCAAAAUGCUCCGGAAUGAAGACUUAUCCCUUGCCACUUGCCUAAAUUAGGCAACCUACGUGUGCAAUUCUUCAGGAAUACCCGCGAGUCGUUUAUCUGAAAAUGCAGCGCUAAAAGCAUUGCCCUUCUGACGAAGAGUUAAUCGCCCUGGGAAUAAAUCAGAGGUCUCACCCAUGCUGUGGGACUUCUCCCAGUGACACCACGUUCCCACUUGGAAACGAGUUUCUUUGUUUGCUUUUCCCCAGUUAUAUAAGGGACAUAAAUUUUUUGUUGCGGAGAGAACUCCAGGCAAUCCGCAUCUCCCUCCAAGGCGUUUCACUGUGGUUCAGCUUGAACACUGCUGCUGUUGCUGCAGUUUUCCAGCUUCUGCCUAUGUCUGCACUAAACCCCCCGCCCCAGGAAGUAACAGCCCGCAUGAAACAUCACUGCCUGACUCCAACCCCACAGAGCAAAGCCCUUUUGCACCCGCUGAUCCCUAUCCUACAAAGCAAAGAGGUUGAGAACAGAGAAGCUUAGGCCAGCACGAGGACGUGCCCAGCGAUGCUCCCCUGUGCAAGAGCAAUUUGGGUGAUCAAAGCGGUGGAACCCAAGCAAACUCUGCUUUGCCACUUGACCCUUUUCCACAUCUCCCACAGCCCCCGGCUUUGCUCUCCUGGCAGCUCUGAGCUCCCCAGCCCCAUCCCUCAGCUCUGAAGGGGAGAGCUGGGGAGGGGAGGCCAUGCCGGGAAGGUCUCAGCGAGGGCUGGGAAGGUCUCAGCAAGGGCUGGGUGCUCACGGCCGGCCGGCGCCGCAUUGCACGCAUACCAGCAAACCUCAGCAGCCCCGGAAGGGGAGCGCGGAUGCUCCCAGGCCAGGCUGCAAGGAAGUCUUAACCCCUUCCCCACUAUGGCCAAGAGGCUCCUUGAGAGCUGGAAGUCAGUGGGAGAGAGGAAUUCACUUAAAGGCCGAGCAUCCCGAUGCCACAUCCCUCCCUUCCUCAUGCUAGUCUAAAAAAUCCCUGGGAACACGGCUCUCCUCUUCCCCUUCCCAUGGCCCCGAGGGGGGGCAGGGGACAAUCCUCAGCCCUAGCCAGAAGCCAUAUGUGCUCCCAGCACAGCCCAGGUGCUGCAGAGCCCAGGGUACCUCUGCCCAGAGUCAAGGACUGUGAAACCCAUGCCCUCGGGGACCCAAGGGAUGGCCGCAGGCUGGUGAGGUUCACUCUGCACCCUGAGGGCACUGUUCGCUCCCGUGUUAACAGUGCCUAAAAUCAUGACAUCAAGGAGGGCUUCUCAUCAAUGUGGGUGAAGGAGAAACCCCCCAAAUGGGGUUUGCCCUCAGGUGGGUCAGUGUGAUCCCCCUGUGACUCAAGGCAGGUUGCUGCACAUGGCUGACUGCACCAGCCAAGUGCCACCCCACAUCCCUGUGUGCCCAGGGAUAUCUGGCCACCCCAUCUCCACAGCCCCUUUCUCAGCACAGUUUCUCACAACAGCUUAUUUAGUGCAGCAAAACCACACUUGUAGAUCCAACACUACAGCAAAGACUUUUCCUUUUUUUUUUCCCCUUCCUUUUUUUUUUUUUUUUUGUUCUGAUUAAGAGGAAAUGAAUGGACCAAACCCUUCCCAGCACCAGUAAGAUCCCUGAAACCCGUGGCUGAGCAGAAGGAGCAGCAGCACUCAGGGCUGCCCUCCCGGCACAGCACAGGGCCGGCGCUGCCCUUCGGCCCGGCUCAGUUCUCUCCAGCAGCACUGGGAUCAGAUCAGGCCCAACAGGAUUAACCACAUAACAGCGAGGGGAAAGCAGAUUUGCCGUCUGAAAAGAAAGGCACAAAACACACCCAGCCACCGAAGCCGGCGUUAAAGGACCUCGGUUCAGAAGUUGCCACCGAAUUUAGCUUUUCUAAAACUGAGGUUUCGGAUUUUUGCAAGAUCGAAUCAGACCCCUUCAACACAAAUUAAUAACCAAAGGCCCACAGAAAUGUUUCCGUAAACUAUUCCUUAAAUCCGAAGGAAACCAUUUGUUUAAAUGAAGCAAGUGUUCCCCUGCAGAGCCGGCACUCCAGUAACUGCAGUGCGAUGAUAGAAAAUGGGGCCGGGUAGUAAAAAUAACUUAAAACUAUUCUAAACAACCAGCAAGCUGAGUAAUCUGUUUCAAAGUCCAAGUGGAGACAUCCCGGUGACAGGGCCCACAGAAAACGCGAAGGUGCAUAGUUAAAAGGGGAGGGGAGCAACCAAAACAAACAGUAAAAAUAGUACGAAUUCCUUCAGAUGCUAUUGGUGACAAAAGAUGAAAGCUGGGAUUUUCAUCCUCUUUCCAACAUCCCUGCUGCUGCCAGGCCCGGGGGCUUCUCCAGCGCUCCAUCACGCUCCUAACGCCAAUCCCUGGGUGUGGAGCAAACACUGAACACCGGAGCACCGUGUUCCUCCGAGAAAUCAAAGGGGAAUACAGGCACCCUCUCCCCAGCUGGUAGCAGCCAGCACAACCCCAUGAAGAACAAGGGAAGGAAAGGCCAAGCCCUGAUCUCUCGGGCUUUUGUGCUCCAGUCUUACUUGUAUACACUGCUCUCACGUUACAAAACGUGUAUGUCGCUGUACUGAUGGCAAGGUGCCAUG